AUGAACGCUAGCUACAGGCUUAACACAUGCAAGUCGAGGGGCAGCAUUUUAGUUUGCUUGCAAACUAAAGAUGGCGACCGGCGCACGGGUGAGUAACACGUAUCCAACCUACCGAUAACUCUGGAAUAGCCUUUCGAAAGAAAGAUUAAUACCGGAUAGUAUACGAAUAUCGCAUGAUAUUUUUAUUAAAGAAUUUCGGUUAUCGAUGGGGAUGCGUUCCAUUAGUUUGUUGGCGGGGUAACGGCCCACCAAGACUACGAUGGAUAGGGGUUCUGAGAGGAAGGUCCCCCACAUUGGAACUGAGACACGGUCCAAACUCCUACGGGAGGCAGCAGUGAGGAAUAUUGGUCAAUGGGCGCAGGCCUGAACCAGCCAAGUAGCGUGAAGGAUGAAGGCUCUAUGGGUCGUAAACUUCUUUUAUAUGGGAAUAAAGUUUUCCACGUGUGGAAUUUUGUAUGUACCAUAUGAAUAAGGAUCGGCUAACUCCGUGCCAGCAGCCGCGGUAAUACGGAGGAUCCGAGCGUUAUCCGGAUUUAUUGGGUUUAAAGGGAGCGUAGGUGGAUUGUUAAGUCAGUUGUGAAAGUUUGCGGCUCAACCGUAAAAUUGCAGUUGAAACUGGUAGUCUUGAGUACAGUAGAGGUGGGCGGAAUUCGUGGUGUAGCGGUGAAAUGCUUAGAUAUCACGAAGAACUCCGAUUGCGAAGGCAGCUCACUAGACUGUUACUGACACUGAUGCUCGAAAGUGUGGGUAUCAAACAGGAUUAGAUACCCUGGUAGUCCACACAGUAAACGAUGAAUACUCGCUGUUUGCGAUAUACAGUAAGCGGCCAAGCGAAAGCAUUAAGUAUUCCACCUGGGGAGUACGCCGGCAACGGUGAAACUCAAAGGAAUUGACGGGGGCCCGCACAAGCGGUGGAGCAUGUGGUUUAAUUCGAAGCAACGCGAAGAACCUUACCAAGUCUUGACAUCCCGGUGACCGGACAGUAAUGUGUCCUUUUCUUCGGAACACCGGUGACAGGUGGUGCAUGGUUGUCGUCAGCUCGUGCCGUGAGGUGUCGGCUUAAGUGCCAUAACGAGCGCAACCCUUAUCUUUAGUUACUAACAGGUCAUGCUGAGGACUCUAGAGAGACUGCCGUCGUAAGAUGUGAGGAAGGUGGGGAUGACGUCAAAUCAGCACGGCCCUUACGUCCGGGGCUACACACGUGUUACAAUGGGGGGUACAGAAGGCAGCUACACGGCGACGUGAUGUUAAUCCCAAAAACCUCUCUCAGUUCGGAUCGAAGUCUGCAACCCGACUUCGUGAAGCUGGAUUCGCUAGUAAUCGCGCAUCAGCCAUGGCGCGGUGAAUACGUUCCCGGGCCUUGUACACACCGCCCGUCAAGCCAUGAAAGCCGGGGGUACCUGAAGUACGUAACCGCAAGGAGCGUCCUAGGGUAAAACUGGUAAUUGGGGCU
rnacentral:rRNA from 1 species